UACGUAGGGUGCGAGCGUUAAUCGGAAUUACUGGGCGUAAAGCGUGCGCAGGCGGUUUUGUAAGCCAGAUGUGAAAUCCCCGGGCUUAACCUGGGAAUGGCAUUUGGGACUGCAAGGCUUGAGUGCGGCAGAGGAGACUGGAAUUCCUGGUGUAGCAGUGAAAUGCGUAGAUAUCAGGAGGAACACCGAUGGCGAAGGCAGGUCUCUGGGCUGACACUGACGCUCAUGCGCGAAAGCGUGGGGAGCAAACAGG
rnacentral:rRNA from 1 species